rnacentral:rRNA from 1 species
AUCGAACGCUGGCGGCAGGCCUAACACAUGUAAGUCGAACGCUAACAGGAAACAGCUUGCUGUUUCCCUGACGAGUGGCGGACGGGUGAGUAAUGUCUGGGAAACUGCCUGAUGGAGGGGUAUAACUACUGGAAACGGUAGCUAAUACUGCUAAACGUCGCUAGCCCAAAGAGGGGGACCGUCGGGCCUCUUGCCAGCGUAUGUGCCGGGAUGGGAUUAGCUAGUAGGUGGGGUAACGGCUCACCUAGGCGACGAUCCAUAGCUGAUCUGAGAGGAUGACCAGCCACACUGGAACUGAGACACGGUCCAGACUCCUGCGGGAGGCAGCAGUGGGGAAUAUUGCACAAUGGGCGCAAGCCUGAUGCAGCCAUGUCGCGUGUAUGAAGAAGGCCUUCGGGUUGUAAAGUACUUUCGGCGGGGAGGAAGGGAGUAAAGUUAAUACCUUUGCUCAUUGACGUUACCCGCAGAAGAAGCACCGGCUAACUCCGUGCCAGCCGCCGCCGUAA